UGAAUUUGAAAGCUAAUUUAGGGUUUAAUCAGGGGUCUGUAUGAAUUUGGCGGCUGAUUUGGUGUUUAAUCUGGGCUGUGUAUGAAUUUGAGGGCUGAUCUAAGCUCUGUAUGAAUUUGGAAAACUGAUUUGAAUUCAACAAAAUAAAAUCAUUAUACCCCUCGCAUCCCACUAUGCCGACCACUAGGGGAGCUCUUUGCGUGAAGCUCACGGACAAUCUGUGUGACACGCGUGUGUAUUGUAUUAUAUUUGGAAUGCGAGCCGCCCGUCAACUGGAAUUCGAUGUGUGGCCCAUAUAUCUGGCUGCGUUGCAGACCACUGCUGUAUAUUAUAUACCACUUGUAUAGAAAAGCUGUAUAAUAUAGCAAACACAUUUUCUUUAACGCAGCAGUUAAUGAAGACAUUAAUUUGUAGAUUUGAUAAUAAUGCGCACACGAGGGUUGAGUGAUUCUGCAGGUAAAAGCCUGCUGCUGGUGGUAUCUGGUGCGUGUGCUGAAAUAAUUGGGAAGGAGCACAUUCUGUUUCUGUAACUGUGGAACAUUCGGUGACAGGAUCGCACAUGUCUCAGGAGAUGUUACAAACUGCUGUGUUGCAGCAUGUCUUUUCUGGCUCCAAUCUACUUUUUGCUAUCAUUCUAAUGCAUUGUCGUUCCAAGGUACAUCCACUGGCACAUGGGUGAUAGUCUGUGUUUAUGUAGCACACGUUGGAAAAUUACAGCAUGAGGAUGGUUACCUUCUAAGAGCUAUGCUUUCAUCCUUUCUUAGUCCAUACAGGUACAGGACAAACACCGUCACGCGUUAAUAUGUGCUUUAGGAAUUUUUGUUUGUGUUUAAUUGUACUUUUGGGAUACAGACAGGUGAUUAGGUCAGAUAUCAGUGGAAGCCUGACGUGGCAAAAUCUGUGUACUGUACUGGACAUGUAAGUGACUGCAUUCCAGAUUGGAAGUAGCACGAUAGUCUGACUAUUGAACUCCUGGGAUAAAAAAAAAA